CACGUAGGGCGCAAGCGUUGUCCGGAAUCAUUGGGCGUAAAGGGCGCGUAGGUGGCGGGACAAGCGUGCGGUGAAAUCCUGAGGCUCAACCUCGGACGUGCGAUGGAUACUGCCGGGCUAGAGGAUGGUAGAGGCGAGUGGAAUUCCCGGUGUAGCGGUGAAAUGCGCAGAUAUCGGGAGGAACACCAGUAGCGAAGGCGGCUCGCUGGGCCAUUCCUGACGCUGAGACGCGAAAGCUAGGGGAGCGAACGGG
rnacentral:rRNA from 1 species